rnacentral:rRNA from 1 species
GAUGAACGCUGGCUACAGGCUUAACACAUGCAAGUCGAGGGGAAACGGCAUUGGGUGCUUGCACCGAAUGGACGUCGACCGGCGCACGGGUGAGUAACGCGUAUCCAACCUUCCCGUUACUGCGGGAUAACCUGCCGAAAGGCAGACUAAUACCGCAUGUUCUUCGAUGACGGCAUCAGAUUCGAAGCAAAGAUCCGUCGGUAACGGAGGGGGAUGCGUCUGAUUAGCUAGUUGGCGGGGCGACGGCCCACCAAGGCGACGAUCAGUAGGGGUUCUGAGAGGAAGGUCCCCCACAUUGGAACUGAGACACGGUCCAAACUCCUACGGGAGGCAGCAGUGAGGAAUAUUGGUCAAUGGGCGGAAGCCUGAACCAGCCAAGUAGCGUGCAGGAGGACGGCCCUACGGGUUGUAAACUGCUUUUAUGCGGGGAUAAAGUGAGGGACGCGUCCCUUUUUGCAGGUACCGCAUGAAUAAGGACCGGCUAAUUCCGUGCCAGCAGCCGCGGUAAUACGGAAGGUCCGGGCGUUAUCCGGAUUUAUUGGGUUUAAAGGGAGCGUAGGCCGGGGAUUAAGUGUGUUGUGAAAUGUAGGCGCCCAACGUCUGACUUGCAGCGCAUACUGGUUCCCUUGAGUACGCGCAACGCCGGCGGAAUUCGUCGUGUAGCGGUGAAAUGCUUAGAUAUGACGAAGAACCCCGAUUGCGAAGGCAGCCGGCGGGAGCGCAACUGACGCUGAAGCUCGAAGGUGCGGGUAUCGAACAGGAUUAGAUACCCUGGUAGUCCGCACGGUAAACGAUGGAUGCCCGCUGUCGGCGCCUUGCGCCGGCGGCCAAGCGAAAGCGUUAAGCAUCCCACCUGGGGAGUACGCCGGCAACGGUGAAACUCAAUGGAAUUGACGGGGGCCCGCACAAGCGGAGGAGCAUGUGGUCUAAUUCGAUGAUACGCGAGGAACCUUACCCGGGGCUUGAAUCGCAGGAGAACGAAACAGAGAUGUUGAUGU